UGGCGGCAGGCUUAACACAUGCAAGUCGAGCGGUAACAGAGAGUAGCUUGCUACUUUGCUGACGAGCGGCGGACGGGUGAGUAACGCGUAGAAAUCUGCCUGGUAGUGGGGGAUAGCCCAGAGAAAUUUGGAUUAAUACCGCAUACGCCCUACGGGGGAAAGCAGGGGACCUUCGGGCCUUGCGCUAUCAGAUGAGUCUGCGUCGGAUUAGCUUGUUGGUGAGGUAAUGGCUCACCAAGGCGACGAUCCGUAGCUGGUCUGAGAGGAUGAUCAGCCACACUGGGACUGAGACACGGCCCAGACUCCUACGGGAGGCAGCAGUGGGGAAUAUUGCACAAUGGGCGAAAGCCUGAUGCAGCCAUGCCGCGUGUGUGAAGAAGGCCUUAGGGUUGUAAAGCACUUUCAGCAGUGAGGUAAAGGUUGUAGCUUAAUACGCUAUAGCUGUGACGUUAACUGCAGAAGAAGGACCGGCUAACUCCGUGC
rnacentral:rRNA from 1 species